rnacentral:lncRNA from 1 species
ACUUCAUUACUUUUACCCACUAUGUCCGCACAAUCAUUAAAGGAUUUACCCUCUGGGCCUGUAAAUUCGAGGGGUGUGCAAAUUGCAACGAUUUACAUGCGAGCUUUACAAACAACACUUAGGCUCAUGAGUGCCUGUGGAUUUCCUCUCUCAAGAAAGAAGGUUUAUCAACAUGCUUACUUUGAUGGGAAACUCUUUCAAGUAAAAUACCAUCAAAUCCAGAGUGAUCCAUCUGUUGCUUCUCUGUGCGAAAAUAAGGUGAAACAUACGAUCAUACAGUUCCUUUUUCGACAGAGAUCAUCCUCAGAUUAACUGACGCUUUUUUCUGCAGAUUAGAAUUCAAUAGCUGAUCUAUGGCUGAAUUUUAAUGGGACGGGCCUACUAGCAUUUUUCAGCAUAAGUCUGAAUAUAUCGGUGUAACAUGACAAGUUCAGUGAAAAUUAAGUUGUUUCGACCUCCAAAGGAAUAAAUAAACAACGGGCAAAGAGGGAGGGAGAAUACACAGCCCUGAAGAUUGAGGUCUCAAGUUGAAUUAUUACAUUGGUGUGGGGUUUAAAAAAUCAGAAAAUGUGAGUGACGAGGAUGUGCUAUCUUUGCCAGUUUUAAUUUGCUAGGAUACUGGUCAUAAAAAUUUUCUUUGAUCAGGUUUCCCCUUCACUUUACCUAUCAUUUGAUAGCAGCGAUGAAAGUUCCCAUAUAUGAGUACUAAUGAGAGAGUGUGUGUGUGUGUGUAUGUGUGUAUAUAUAUAUAUAUAUAUAUAUAUAUAUAUAUAUAUAUAUAUAUAUAUAUAUAUAUAUAUAUAUAUAUGAGGUCGCUCUACAACGCACUCUGGCGUUCUGCGACACCCAAACGAGAAAGUGAUUUGUUUAAAAAAAAAGAAAAAAAAGAAAAAAUCCUGUUUUGCAAAAUUAUUCCGAAAAUGCCGAUUUUGUUAAUAUAAAUAAUGCUGCUCUCUGAAGAGUGUUUUUAAGCAUGGCAUGCAUUUAUUAGUGAGUGCAUUUAUUGAUACAUUGAAGUUUUUGUUAAAAUGGUUUGAUUAAGAGUGUCUUAGUGUAAUUUUGGGCUGUUUUAAAAAUUAGGGCUGAUUUUCUUAGUGUAAGUUAAGGUUGAAAUAUUGUAAUGAAUCGUUAAUUAUUCAAUUCUUAUCUAAUUUCCAGCACUGAUUUAAAAAAUUAUGAUGAAAAAAACUAUGUCAUUGAAUUUUCGCGAAUUAAUUAUAAAACAUCUUUUUUCUUUUUCAUACUUAAUCAUAAAUUCAACUUAUAAUUUUAGCGUGUGAAUUACAUAAUGGAGAAGAAAAAGCUCUUUGAAUUUUUUUAAUCAGAUUAAUUGGCAAAAUCUUUUGAUACAACCCAAAUCUCAAUGAUUUAAAAAAAAACCUUGGAAAUCAACUCUUUUUGCUUUUCAAAUGACUCCAUCUGACCUCAUUGAUUUUCCAUUUUAAUUUGUUCUCUCUUUUUUUCAGACUUUACUUUUUGACGCCUAUAAAGCACUUCGAAGCAAUUUCUUCAAAGAAACCUAGAGAACUUGUUUGGGCACUUAUCAGAUAAGAGGAUGUAUGGUAUAUUCCAUUUUCCUACUAUUAUUUUUCAGGUUACAUUAAUUUUUUCAUUUUCUCCUCAUUUUCUUUAAUUUCCACAUACUGUAAUUAUAGAUACCUUCGUAACGGUUCGACAUACUUUCCAUCAAUAGCUCUAGUUGUUCAGAUCCUAGACAUUUGUGAAAACAGAUUGUGCUCCUUCAUUUUUUUUGUCUUCAAAAAAAUGUUUUUUUAAUCCAGUUCUAAAAGAAACUUUAUGAAAUUUUGAAUCCAUAGACACAAUAUAUGAAAAAGAAAACUAAACUGAAUUUUCAAAUAAUAGACUUUACAAAGCAAUGAUAGCCGAGAGCCUUGACACUGCGUUCUUGAAUAAAAUUACCUAUUAAUCAGCAAAAGAUUCACAUUCUAACAAAUUUUCUGUUAUUUAUAAGGAAAAAGACGUCUUUUUCUUUCUUUUUUCUUCUUCCGUUAAUGAUUUGUAAGUGUUGUAUUUCUUUAGUAACUUUUUAUGUUUGCCCAAGGAUAAUCAUUUUAUUACAAGUCAUUUUAGCCUUAAAACCAUUGAAUUUUAAAUGUUUGUAAAUUGUUCGACUUCCCUGAAACUGAGUGCUUUCAACAUUUUUAACAUUUUUUUACAGUAUUAUGUCACCAAUUCUCUUUGCUUACCAGUAACCUUGUCUUAGUUUACUGUCCCAUAAACACAUGCACUCCUGUGAAAGAUUGCCCUCAUAAUGUGUUGUCAUCUUCUGUGCAUAAUUUCUCAUUUCAUUUAAGUUCACUUCUUAUCCCAUAAGGUUCUUGCUGUGAUAAUGAUUUUUAAAUUCAACUAACUGAAUGAUUUGUUGAGAUUUUUUACUUCAAACAUAAGAUAAUUGCUAUUUUCAUAUUUUGCAGUUGUUUUUUUAUGCUUCCCUAGGUAUAAAUGCAAAAAAAAUGUAAUCCAUGAACUUGAAUGUAAGAUGUUUUUUUGAGAUUAAUAUUUGAGAUUUAAAGAGGCUAGGUAGUCCUAGCCGGGUGGGGUAUUACACAGUGUCAAAUAUACCACUUGCUGUUACACAAAGAACUAUCUGAAUACAUAAAAUGCUUACGCUUUUAUCCAUAAAUUUAGGGAAAUGUGCGUUAUCAUUUACCAAAUUCAUUGGAUAAGUUGCAAUUAAUAUCAUUUUCAAUUCGGAUUUCCCAACUUGAAUGGUUGAUGGGGAUGGAGAACGGAACAGUGCCAAGUUUUUCAUCAUGCAAAAGACAAAAAAGAGGGGGAGGGGUCAAAUGGUGCAAAAAUAAAAUGAAUUGAAGUUAUUUAAAGUCAAUUAAACCUUCACCUAAAAAAGGUGAGCGCUUUAAAUAAUGUAAGAACAUGUUAUAUACUUACGCAAACACUAAGCUGGUCUGAAGAGAAAAAGCUCCUUACCUGAAACAUACAAGAAUGGAAAAGUUCAAUUAACCACUGAGGA